AGAGAAAGAUGAAAGUAGAAAUGGACGAUGUAAGGUGUAAAGCACCCAGUCUGGCAGUUGAAACCAUCAAGGUGAAAAAUGCCGUUGGUGUUGAGAAAGAGAAAAAGCCGUCCAUUUCUUCUUACAAACAGGCGGUGGAAGUGGUGAGAAAUGGAGGGAUCUCAGGCUGGGGACAGAUCAUAGGCAUUGUGGUAAAGGCGGAUAUGUU
rnacentral:lncRNA from 1 species